rnacentral:rRNA from 1 species
GACGAACGCUGGCGGCGUGCUUAACACAUGCAAGUCGAACGGAAAGGCCUGCUUUCCCUUGUGGAUUGCGGGUACUCGAGUGGCGAACGGGUGAGUAACACGUGAGUGAUCUGCCCCCAACUUGGGUAUAAGCCUGGGAAACUGGGUCUAAUUCCCGAUAGGACUGCAGGGUGGUGCCUGUGGUGGAAAACGAUUUUCUAGUGGUUGGGGAUGAGCUCGCGGCCUAUCAGCUUGUUGGUGGGGUAAUGGCCUACCAAGGCGGCGACGGGUAGCCGGCCUGAGAGGGUGGACGGCGACAUUGGGACUGAGAUACGGCCCAGACUCCUGCGGGAGGCAGCAGUGGGGAAUAUUGCACAAUGGGCGGAAGCCUGAUGCAGCGACGCCGCGUGGGGGAUGACGGCCUUCGGGUUGUAAACUCCUUUCGACCGCGAGGAAGCCACCUGGUUGGAAGGGUGGUGACGGUAGUGGUAGAAGAAGCACCGGCUAACUACGUG